GGAGGUGUCUGGGCACCUGGUGGUCCCCACGGUCUUCAAAACCGGUGAGACCGAGCAUCUCGGUCUGGCGGGUUCGAUUCCCGUCCACCUCCGCCA
rnacentral:tRNA from 2 species